CCUCUGCCCAUGGGAUUUUCCAGGAAGUUUUGCUGGAGUUGCUGGAACAUUGUGUGGAUGGCUUAUGGAAAGCAGAGCAUUAUGAAGUAAUUUCUGAAAUUUCCAAGUUGAUCAUUCCAAUUUAUGAGAAUCAUCGAGAGUUUGAGGAAAAAACUUAAGUUUAUAGAACUCUUCAUGGAGCUUACACAAAAAUUUUGGAGGUUAUGCACGCAAAGAAAAG